GCAGAGUUUACUGCGCUGCACAGUCAACCUGGACCAUUCCAUCCGUCGCCGCAUGGGCCUCAUCAGGGCUGUCAGCGCGCUCAAGCCGCCCAGCCCGCCCAAGUCCCCGUCCCGGGAUGGUCCCCAGGCCGGUCCCAGAGCCACUAUUGCCGCAGGCACGUCCCAGGCGGGUCAAGGAUCAGGACACAGUAGAGAGGCACAUCAGACCCGGGACCGGACCCAUGGGGUCAAGCCAAGGCCAAUGGCCUAAGUCCUUUAAUUUCAGGGGUGUAAAGGCCGCUUGGUUGUGGGGUGGAGAACACCAGCCACUGGGGACAGCAACAUCCUGCCCUCCCUGAUGACGGUGUGAGGUCAGGGCUGGGCUCAAGAGCCAUGGUUUAUGGGAUGGCCACACACUCUGAUGACUUUGGAAGCCAAAGGGAGGCAGGUACUAGCUUCCUGGAUUAGGCUGCUGCUACACCAGUGUCUGAGUGAACGGAGGAGUCGUUGAGGAACACGGGAGUCAAAGAAGCAAUAAAGGAAGCUGUGGAAAGCC
rnacentral:lncRNA from 1 species